rnacentral:rRNA from 1 species
UACGAAGGGGGCUAGCGUUGCUCGGAAUUACUGGGCGUAAAGGGCGCGUAGGCGGCGUGACAAGUCACUUGUGAAAUCUCCGGGCUUAACUCGGAACGGUCAAGUGAUACUGUCGUGCUAGAGUACAGAAGGGGCAACUGGAAUUCUCGGUGUAGCGGUGAAAUGCGUAGAUAUCGAGAGGAACACCUGCGGCGAAGGCGGGUUGCUGGGCUGACACUGACGCUGAGGCGCGAAAGCUAGGGGAGCGAACGGG